GUAUAGCUCAUCUGGGAGAGCGCUUGAAUGGCAUUCAAGAGGUCAUGGGUUCGAAUCCCACUAUCUCCA
rnacentral:tRNA from 1 species